UUUAUUGUCUUCAGAAAAAGUCCGUUAGCAUCUCAACCUUAAUGCUAACUACAAGAGAUUCUUCCAUGCUGAUGUCCAUACCCUAGAGUUGGAGCGUGUAUCUUGUCGAAGAUCAUUUUUAGACAUUAUGAGACAUAUGACUUGGGGGCAAAAUACAUUGAGUCAAAGUUUAGCUCCAACCCCAAUUAAGCAGACCUGAGCAGCUGAUCAAAGAUCACCAGAAACUCUGCAUAACGGUGGUCCUGCAUGCCCAGGACUGGACACCAGUGUUGUAAGUCAUACAUAUAGCAGGAGAUCUCAACAUUGUCUCUCAAGGUCCACUUACAUGCAGAGUUUUGCACCAACCUAGUGCAGUGCACCUGAACACAUUAAUCAAGGUCUUCAG